UCGUGGGUACUACUUUCCUUG
rnacentral:siRNA from 1 species